CAUCUCAAGGGGGGAGGUCAAGAAAGGGGGCAAGUGAGAGCUGCCUGAGAGACACAGAGGGGUAGAUGUGAGCUACCCUGUUGGGAUCUGGGAAGGCAGGCACAGAAGUGGCAGAGGAGAUUGGGACCAGAGAGCUGUUGGUGAGGACUGGCCAGAGCUGGUUCCGCCAUUACAUGGACCCGAGGCCACAAAUUAUCUACACGUAUUGCCAUGCUUAAAAUUGCCUUCGACUAAACUAAAUACUUGGAACAACUCUAAGCUAUCAAAGAUCGUAUCAAUUGAGG